AUGGAGAAACUCCUUGUAGUGUCUUUGGUGAUUCUAUGGCUUCAAGUGGACAGGGUGAACGGCCAAGUAGAACAGAAUCCUGAGGCUCUGCACAUCCAGGAAGGUGAAAACGUCACCAUGAACUGCAGCUAUAAAACUACUAUAAAAAACUUACAGUGGUAUAGACAAGAUUCAGGUAGAGGCCUUGUCCUACAAAUUUUAAUUCUUUCAAAUGAGAAAGAGAAACCUAAUGGAAGACUAAAAGCCACGCUAGAUACCUCCACCAAGAGCAGUUUCCUGUUCAUCACCGCUUCCCAGGCUGCAGACACUGCUACUUACUUCUGUGCUCUUGAUACACAGUGUUUACCAAGCACCUGCAGCUUUUACACAAACCUGCCUGAGCUGCUGCUUAGACCCCCUAACACUGGGUAG